GACGUAGGGCGCGAGCGUUGUCCGGAUUUAUAGGGCGUAAAGAGCUCGUAGGCGGCUUGUCGCGUCGACUGUGAAAACCCGCGGCUCAACUGCGGGCUUGCAGUCGAUACGGGCAGGCUAGAGUUCGGUAGGGGAGACUGGAAUUCCUGGUGUAGCGGUGAAAUGCGCAGAUAUCGGGAGGAACACCGGUGGCGAAGGCGGCUUUCUGGGCCUUACCUGACGCUGAGGAGCGAAAGCUGGAGGAGCGAACAGG
rnacentral:rRNA from 1 species